GCCCCAAUCCGUCCAGUAGAGGUCGCUGUGGUCAUGAAUGGAAUUAUCAUUAGUGUACAGCAUUUCAUUCCGCCUACCAUAUGUGUACCUAUCAAUCAAGGCCGAUUUGUUUACGACUGGUUUAGUCUUGGUGCAAGCCAUACCAUUUGGCCGAUGUCAGCUACAGUAGCCAGUUGACGCCUUAUGAAUAUUCAGAUCAAUGACAUUAAUUGGACUACGUCACAUCCAUUUCAUCUGUACCAAACCAUCAAUAUACCCACUAUGUAAUGU